rnacentral:rRNA from 1 species
AACGAACGCUGGCGGCAGGCCUCAAACAUGCAAGUCUAGGGGGUGUAGCAAUACAUCACCGGCGGACGGGUGCGUAACGCGUGGGAAUGUACCUAUUGGUUCGGAACAACACAGGGAAACUUGUGCUAAUACCGAAUGUGUCCUUACGGAGAAAGAUUUAUCGCCAAGUAGAUCAGCCCGCGUUCCGAUUAGCUAGUUGGUGGGGUAAAAGCCUACCAAGGCGACGAUCGGUAGCUGUUCNGAGAGGAAGAU